rnacentral:rRNA from 1 species
UACGAAGGGGGCUAGCGUUGCUCGGAAUUACUGGGCGUGAAGCGCACGUAGGCGGAUUGUUAAGUCGGGGGUGAAAUCCUGGAGCUCAACUCCAGAACUGCCUUCGAUACUGGCGAUCUCGAGUUCGGGAGAGGUGAGUGGAACUGCGAGUGUAGAGGUGAAAUUCGUAGAUAUUCGCAAGAACACCAGUGGCGAAGGCGGCUCACUGGCCCGAUACUGACGCUGAGGUGCGAAAGCGUGGGGAGCAAACAGG